rnacentral:rRNA from 1 species
GGAGUACGGUCGCAAGAUUAAAACUCAAAUGAAUUGACGGGGGCCCGCACAAGCGGUGGAGCAUGUGGUUUAAUUCGAUGCAACGCGAAGAACCUUACCUACUCUUGACAUCCAGAGAACUUUCCAGAGAUGGAUUGGUGCCUUCGGGAACUCUGAGACAGGUGCUGCAUGGCUGUCGUCAGCUCGUGUUGUGAAAUGUUGGGUUAAGUCCCGCAACGAGCGCAACCCUUAUCCUUGUUUGCCAGCGAGUAAUGUCGGGAACUCCAGGGAGACUGCCGGUGAUAAACCGGAGGAAGGUGGGGACGACGUCAAGUCAUCAUGGCCCUUACGAGUAGGGCUACACACGUGCUACAAUGGCGCAUACAGAGGGCAGCAAGCUAGCGAUAGUGAGCGAAUCCCAAAAAGUGCGUCGUAGUCCGGAUUGGAGUCUGCAACUCGACUCCAUGAAGUCGGAAUCGCUAGUAAUCGUGGAUCAGAAUGCCACGGUGAAUACGUUCCCGGGCCUUGUACACACCGCCCGUCACACCAUGGGAGUGGGCUGCAAAAGAAGUAGGUAGUUUAACCUUCGGGAGGACGCUUACCACUUUGUGGUUCAUGAAUGGGGUGAAGUCGUAACAAGGUAGCCGUAA